GAUGAACGCUAGCUACAGGCUUAACACAUGCAAGUCGAGGGGAAACGAUAUUGGAAGCUUGCUUCCGAUAGGCGUCGACCGGCGCACGGGUGAGUAACGCGUAUCCAACCUGCCCACCACUUGGGGAUAACCUUGCGAAAGUAAGACUAAUACCCAAUGAUAUCCCUAGAAGACAUCUGAAGGAGAUUAAAGAUUUAUCGGUGAUGGAUGGGGAUGCGUCUGAUUAGCUUGUUGGCGGGGUAACGGCCCACCAAGGCGACGAUCAGUAGGGGUUCUGAGAGGAAGGUCCCCCACAUUGGAACUGAGACACGGUCCAAACUCCUACGGGAGGCAGCAGUGAGGAAUAUUGGUCAAUGGGCGAGAGCCUGAACCAGCCAAGUAGCGUGCAGGAUGACGGCCCUAUGGGUUGUAAACUGCUUUUAUAAGGGAAUAAAGUGAGCCUCGUGAGGCUUUUUGCAUGUACCUUAUGAAUAAGGACCGGCUAAUUCCGUGCCAGCCGCCGCAGUAA
rnacentral:rRNA from 1 species